AUUGAACGCUGGCGGCAUGCCUUACACAUGCAAGUCGAACGGCAGCACGGGAGCAAUCCUGGUGGCGAGUGGCGAACGGGUGAGUAAUAUAUCGGAACGUGCCCGGUCGUGGGGAUAACGUAGCGAAAGCUACGCUAAUACCGCAUACGAUCUACGGAUGAAAGCGGGGGAUCGCAAGACCUCGCGCGAUUGGAGCGGCCGAUAUCAGAUUAGGUAGUUGGUGAGGUAAAGGCUCACCAAGCCGACGAUCUGUAGCUGGUCUGAGAGGACGACCAGCCACACUGGGACUGAGACACGGCCCAGACUCCUACGGGAGGCAGCAGUGGGGAAUUUUGGACAAUGGGCGCAAGCCUGAUCAGCAAUGCCGCGUGCAGGA
rnacentral:rRNA from 1 species